rnacentral:rRNA from 1 species
GGUGAACGCUGGCGGCGUGCCUAAUACAUGCAAGUCGAGCGAACAGACGAGGAGCUUGCUCCUCUGACGUUAGCGGCGGACGGGUGAGUAACACGUGGAUAACCUACCUAUAAGACUGGGAUAACUUCGGGAAACCGGGGCUAAUACCGGAUAAUAUAUUGAACCGCAUGGUUCAAUAGUGAAAGACGGUUUUGCUGUCACUUAUAGAUGGAUCCGCGCCGCAUUAGCUAGUUGGUAAGGUAACGGCUUACCAAGGCAACGAUGCGUAGCCGACCUGAGAGGGUGAUCGGCCACACUGGAACUGAGACACGGUCCAGACUCCUACGGGAGGCAGCAGUAGGGAAUCUUCCGCAAUGGGCGAAAGCCUGACGGAGCAACGCCGCGUGAGUGAUGAAGGUCUUCGGAUCGUAAAACUCUGUUAUUAGGGAAGAACAAAUGUGUAAGUAACUAUGCACGUCUUGACGGUACCUAAUCAGAAAGCCACGGCUAACUACGU